rnacentral:rRNA from 1 species
CAGUCGCCACGGUAAUACGAAGGGUGCAAGCGUUACUCGGAAUUACUGGGCGUAAAGCGUGCGUAGGUGGUGGUUUAAGUCCGUUGUGAAAGCCCUGGGCUCAACCUGGGAAUUGCAGUGGAUACUGGGUCACUAGAGUGUGGUAGAGGAUAGUGGAAUUUCCGGUGUCGCAGUGAAAUGCGUAGAGAUCGGAAGGAACAUCUGUGGCGAAGGCGACUAUCUGGGCCAACACUGACACUGAGGCACGAAAGCGUGGGGAGCAAACAGGAUUAGAUACCCCCGUAGUCCCUGUCUCUUAUAA